CUAUGCGCCUUGCCCAGCCCGCUCAGGUGUGCCAGCCGCGCGGUAAUACGGAGGAUGCGAGCGUUAUCCGGAUUUAUUGGGUUUAAAGGUGCGUAGGUGGUUAAUUAAGUCAGCGGUGAAAGUUUGUGGCUCAACCAUAAAAUUGCCGUUGAAACUGGUUGACUUGAGUAUAUUUGAGGUAGGCGGAAUGCGUGGUGUAGCGGUGAAAUGCAUAGAUAUCACGCAGAACUCCGAUUGCGAAGGCAGCUUACUAAACUAUAACUGACACUGAAGCACGAAAGCGUGGGAUCAAACAGG
rnacentral:rRNA from 1 species